rnacentral:rRNA from 1 species
UACGUAGGUGGCGAGCGUUGUCCGGAAUUACUGGGCGUAAAGGGCGCGUAGGCGGCCUGUUAAGUCAGAUGUGAAAACCCCAGGCUCAACCUGGGGACUGCAUAUGAAACUGAUGGGCUAGAGUGUCGGAGAGGGAAGCGGAAUUCCUAGUGUAGCGGUGAAAUGCGUAGAUAUUAGGAGGAACACCAGUGGCGAAGGCGGCUUUCUGGACGAUAACUGACGCUGAGGCGCGAAAGCGUGGGGAGCAAAC